rnacentral:rRNA from 1 species
GUCUAGUAUAGCAUUAUACCGUGAAACUGCGAAUGGCUCAUUAAAUCAGUUAUCGUUUAUUUGAUAGUACCUUACUACUUGGAUACCCGUGGUAAUUCUAGAGCUAAUACAUGCAAAAAACCCCGACUUCGGGAGGGGUGUAUUUAUUAGAUAAAAAACCAAUGCCCUCCGGGGCUCUUUGGUGAUUCAUGAUAACUUAACGGAUCGCAUGGCCUUGCGCCGGCGACGGUUCAUUCAAAUUUCUGCCCUAUCAACUUUCGAUGGUAAGGUAUUGGCUUACCAUGGUUUCAACGGGUAACGGAUUUUUAGGGAAAGAUCCCGGAGAAGGAGCCUGAGAAACGGCUACUACAUCCAAGGAAGGCAGCAGGCGCGCAAAUUACCCAAUCCCGACACGGGGAGGUAGUGACAAUAAAUACUGAUACAGGGCUCUUUUGGGUCUUGUAAUCGGAAUGAGUACAAUUUAAAUACCUUAACGAGGAACAAUUGGAGGGCAAGUCUGGUGGACGAUUCAGCUAGCUGACGCCAGAGAUAGCCGGGCACUCCCCGAGUGCUACGCCGGCUAGUCGAGUACCCACCGAACUGAUGGGGGGGUACCGGCAAGACAACCUGGAUCGGGGAAGGCUAACGGCGCCCUCAGGGGCUCCUAUGCUGAUCCCGAGCAGAGCUGCCGCGGAGCGAUCCGCGACGACGCCUGUGUAGAGCGCGCAAAGGUGUCGGUCGACUCACGAAGUCGGCUUAAGGGACGUGCCAUUCCCGCCCGAAAGGGCGGCUGCCAGCAUCGAGCGCCCAUCACGCGAGAUCUGGCGGGUCCGGAGGCGCCCAUGGGCCCCGGAUGUCGAUCAUUAGGCAGCAGCGCGGUAUCAGCUCAUAGCGUAUAUAAGUGUGCAGUAAAAGCUCGUAGUGACUGGCUG